GCGUCAUUGGUCUAGGGGUUAGGAUUCAACUCUUCCAUUGUCACGAUUGAAAAGUUGAGGCCCGGAUUCGAGUUCCGGAUGACGCA